UGCGCUCCCGGCCCUUGAUUUCCCGGAUUCUGAUGCUGCCGCAUCUGGGGCCCCUCAGGGGUCACCAGUGACACACCGGACAGCUUGUCCACAGCACACCUCUUACAUGCAAACUAGCCAAUGGAGCCCGCGCCCCUCCCCUCCUCUAUGGGGCUUUCACCGGGGCCACGGUCCCCCGCUGCUACAGCCCAGACUGGCUGCCCUUGCGCAGGCUAGCCCGCCCUCAGCCUGCACCCCUGCCCCGCCUCUCUCUUCCCGAGGGAACCACAGUGAACGCUCUUGCCCGCACUCCCCCCCUUUCUCCUUGUCUCCCAAUGGCCGCAGGUGCUCCCCUUGCGUGGCCAUGUGUGGCCGGCAGCCGCGAGGGAUGGAUGACCUUCUCUUGGAAGAUCACAAAAAUCACUAAGAUGAGAAGCUGUAGGAUUUACUUUUAAUGGAAUCAAAAAAGCAAAGCCUACUGCAAUGUGUUUACGCUGUUACUUUUUUAUAACAAAGAAAACAAAACUGAAACAACAGGACCCAAAUGGAGUCACUGGUGCCGAGUCCUCUCUCAGCACUUAACACCCAAUCAGACUGCAGUUUUGGCUUCUUCCAGUCACCGUGAUUGCCUGGUCAGCACCAGUGAGAUAAUCCGCCGGACAGACC